UGGGGAAUAUUGCACAAUGGGCGAAAGCCUGAUGCAGCAACGCCGCGUGAGUGAUGAAGGCCUUCGGGUUGUGAAGCUCUGUCUUUUGGGACGAUAAUGACGGUACCAAAGGAGGAAGCCACGGCUAACUACGUGCCAGCAGCCGCGGUAAUACGUAGGUGGCAAGCGUUGUCCGGAUUUACUGGGCGUAAAGGAUGCGUAGGCGGAUUUUUAAGUGAGAUGUGAAAUACCCGGGCUUAACUUGGGUGCUGCAUUUCAAACUGGGAAUCUAGAGUGCGGGAGAGGAGAAUGGAAUUCCUAGUGUAGCGGUGAAAUGCGUAGAGAUUAGGAAGAACACCAGUGGCGAAGGCGAUUCUCUGGACCGUAACUGACGCUGAGGCAUGAAAGCGUGGGUAGCAAACAGGAUUAGAUACCCUGGUAGUCCACGCCGUAAACGAUGAGUACUAGGUGUAGGAGGUAUCGACCCCUUCUGUGCCGCAGUUAACACAAUAAGUACUCCGCCUGGGAAGUACGAUCGCAAGAUUAAAACUCAAAUGAAUUGACGGGGUC
rnacentral:rRNA from 1 species